rnacentral:siRNA from 1 species
GACUCGUACUCUUCAGCCUGC